rnacentral:lncRNA from 1 species
CUAAACCCUAAACCCUAAACCCUAAACCCUAAACCCUAAACCCUAAACCCUAAACCCUAAACCCUAAACCCUAAACCCUAAACCCUAAACCCUAAACCCUAAACCCCAAACCCGAAACCCGAAACCUUAAACUCUAAAGCCCUAAACCCUAAUCCCAGAGAAAAGAACUGACAAGACCCCUCUGCUCGCGCCUCGAGUCGUUUGAACCGACGAAACGCUCGCGCUCGCCACUUCGGUCCUCCUCCUCCUCCGCCGCGCCCCACUUCCGUCGUCGCGUGGCGCGAGUCGUCGCGCGCGCGGCCGCCGCGGCGUCAUGGAGACGCUCGUCCGCGCGGUGCCGCCCGCGCUCCGCGCGCGCAUCGGCGCGAAGCGCGCGCCGCCCUCGGAUCGAGAUCGCGGUCGCGGCGAGCCGUCGACGGAGUCGAUGAGCGCCGAUUGCGACGAAGAAGAGGGCACCCUCGCGUUCGCCGCGCGCGCGGUCGCCGACGCGCUCGCGGACGCGGACGCGUUCGAGCGCGCGCGCCGCGAGCUCACGAACGCUCGCGGCGCCGCCGCGANNN